CCUACGGGAGGCAGCAGUGGGGAAUAUUGCACAAUGGGCGCAAGCCUGAUGCAGCAACGCCGCGUGAGGGACGACGGCCUUCGGGUUGUAAACCUCUUUUAGUAGGGAAGAAGCGAAAGUGACGGUACCUGCAGAAAAAGCACCGGCUAACUACGUGCCAGCAGCCGCGGUAAUACGUAGGGUGCAAGCGUUAUCCGGAAUUAUUGGGCGUAAAGAGCUCGUAGGCGGUUUGUCGCGUCUGCUGUGAAAACUGGAGGCUCAACCUCCAGCCUGCAGUGGGUACGGGCAAACUAGAGUGCGGUAGGGGAGAUUGGAAUUCCUGGUGUAGCGGUGGAAUGCGCAGAUAUCAGGAGGAACACCGAUGGCGAAGGCAGAUCUCUGGGCCGUAACUGACGCUGAGGAGCGAAAGCAUGGGGAGCGAACAGGAUUAGAUACCCUGGUAGUCCAUGCCGUAAACGUUGGGCGCUAGAUGUGGGGACCAUUCCACGGUUUCCGUGUCGCNGCUACGCAUAGCGCCCCGCCCGCGGGAGGUACGGCCGCGAGGACGUAACUACGAAAGAAGUAGACGGCGUGAGACGUCGCCGACGGACGACGACGAGGGAGGAGG
rnacentral:rRNA from 1 species